GGAAUUGCUCCUGUUGCAAUUUGGCUGAUUGAGCUAUUAGUUUUGAAUGUGCCGGUUCCUCCUUCCGGACACUACAAUGGCACAGUUGUUUUGUUUGGCAUUGCCGUUGAUGUAAACCAAGACGAUAGAGGUUGAUAUUGGAAUCAUUUGUGUUGGUA